GAUGAACGCUGGCGGCGUGCCUUAUGCAUGCAAGUCGAACGAGGUUAGAAUUUCGGUUCGAAGCCUAGUGGCGGACGGGUGAGUAACACGUACGUGACCUGUCCAGAAGUGGGGAAUAACCGGCCGAAAGGUUGGCUAAUACCGCAUGUGGUCACCCCUUGGAAGGGGAUGACGAAAGCCGAAAGGCGCUUCUGGAGGGGCGUGUGUCCGAUUAGCUAGUUGGUGUGGUAACGGCGCACCAAGGCGAUGAUCGGUAGCUGGUCUGAGAGGAUGGUCAGCCACACUGGGACUGAGAUACGGCCCAGACUCCUACGGGAGGCAGCAGCAGGGAAUUUUUGCGCAAUGGGCGAAAGCCUGACGCAGCAACGCCGCGUGGGGGAUGAAGGCUCUUGGGUCGUAAACCCC
rnacentral:rRNA from 1 species